UACGUAGGUGGCAAGCGUUGUCCGGAAUUACUGGGUGUAAAGGGUGCGCAGGCGGGGAUGCAAGUCAGCUGUGAAAACUAUCGGCUUAACUGAUAGACUGCAGUUGAAACUGUAUUUCUUGAGUGAAGUAGAGGUAGGCGGAAUUCCUAGUGUAGCGGUGAAAUGCGUAGAUAUUAGGAGGAACACCAGUGGCGAAGGCGGCCUACUGGGCUUUAACUGACGCUGAGGCACGAAAGUGUGGGGAGCAAACAGG
rnacentral:rRNA from 1 species